rnacentral:rRNA from 1 species
AUUGAACGCUGGCGGCAGGCCUAACACAUGCAAGUCGAACGGUAGCACAGAGAGCUUGCUCUCGGGUGACGAGUGGCGGACGGGUGAGUAAUGUCUGGGAAACUGCCUGAUGGAGGGGGAUAACUACUGGAAACGGUAGCUAAUACCGCAUAAUGUCGCAAGACCAAAGAGGGGGACCUUCGGGCCUCUUGCCAUCGGAUGUGCCCAGAUGGGAUUAGCUAGUAGGUGGGGUAACGGCUCACCUAGGCGACGGUCCCUAGCUGGUCUGAGAGGAUGACCAGCCACACUGGAACUGAGACACGGUCCAGACUCCUACGGGAGGCAGCAGUGGGGAAUAAUGCACAAUGGGCGCAAGCCUGAUGCAGCCAUGCCGCGUGUAUGAAGAAGGCCUUCGGGUUGUAAAGUACUUUCAGCGGGGAGGAAGGGGUUGAGUUUAAUACGCUCAAUCAUUGACGUUACCCGCAGAAGAAGCACCGGCUAACUCCGUGCCAGCCGCCGCCGUAAGAC